rnacentral:hammerhead_ribozyme from 1 species
GCAUUGCUGAGGAGUCCCACAACAGGAUGAAACGGCCGUUCAGUGC